AUACCCUGUGAUGUUGUAAAUCUAAACCAUGCUAAUUCUGAUCUACCCUUGAUCGAUUUUAUUUCUAUGAUUCGCUGAGGGUU